rnacentral:lncRNA from 1 species
UACUUUGUUUAUUGGUCUCUAUUAGGAUGGGCAAGACAUCCAUGAAAAAAGAACACAUCCAAGUACUAAUAUCUAGGAUACUACAGAGCCUAGUAUUGAUUGAUGAACGACAUGAAUCAUUCCAUGGUCCGGUGCAUAUAUCAAUAAUCGUCCUUCUCGCUUUUCGAAAAGUAACAUUCAGAAGUCCCCUCAACUGCAUUUGGGAAAGGUCACUUAUUUCCUGAUAUGCUGAAGUACAUAUAUGAAUUGGGAAGCUAUGCUGAUA